rnacentral:SRP_RNA from 5 species
CCGUGCUAGCCGGGGAGAUAGCGGUUCCCUGUACCUGCAAUCCGCUAUAGCAGGGGUGAUGUUCUGUUUCGGGUCUAUGGCUUGCAAAGCUGCCCUUUGUAAGUGGCGUUGACGCUUUGGUCUUGCGCAAUGGAAACUCAUGAACCGUGUCAGGAGGGGAACCUAGCAGCACUAAGUGAGAUCUUCCGUGUGCCGCGAGGUUGCCGGGGCUGAGUUAACUGCAAAGGUAACGUUUGCAGCGAUGGAUUCAACGCAGAAUGCACGG